UACGUAGGGCGCAAGCGUUGUCCGGAAUCAUUGGGCGUAAAGAGCUCGUAGGCGGCCUGUCGCGUCCGCUGUGAAAUCCCGGGGCUUAACCCCGGGCGUGCAGUGGAUACGGGCUGGCUGGAGGCAGGCAGGGGAGAACGGAAUUCCCGGUGUAGCGGUGAAAUGCGCAGAUAUCGGGAGGAACACCGGUGGCGAAGGCAGUUCUCUGGGCCUGUACUGACGCUGAGGAGCGAAAGCGUGGGGAGCGAACAGG
rnacentral:rRNA from 1 species